GACGAACGCUGGCGGCGUGCUUAACACAUGCAAGUCGAACGGAAAGGCCCUGCUUUUGUGGGGUGCUCGAGUGGCGAACGGGUGAGUAACACGUGAGUAACCUGCCCUUGACUUUGGGAUAACUUCAGGAAACUGGGGCUAAUACCGGAUAGGAGCUCCUGCUGCAUGGGGGGGGUUGGAAAGUUUCGGCGGUUGGGGAUGGACUCGCGGCUUAUCAGCUUGUUGGUGGGGUAGUGGCUUACCAAGGCAUUGACGGGUAGCCGGCCUGAGUGGGUGACCGGCCACAUUGGGACUGGGAUACGGCCCAGACUCCUACGGGAGGCAGCAGUGGGGAAUAUUGCACAAUGGGCGGAAGCCUGAUGAAGCAACGCCGCGUGCGGGAUGACGGCCUUCGGGUUGUAAACGGCUUUCGCCUGUGACGAAGCGUGAGUGACGGUAAUGGGUAAAGAAGCACCGGCUAACUACGUG
rnacentral:rRNA from 1 species